UACGGAAGGCAGCAGGGGGAAUAUUGCACAAUGGGCGAAAGCCUGAUGCAGCUAUGCCGCGUGUAUGAAGAAGGCCUUAGGGUUGUAAAGUACUUUCAUCGGGGAGGAAAAAACAAACUAAUAAUUUUAUUUCUUGACGUUACCCGAAAAAGAAGCACCGGCUAACUCCGUGCCAGCAGCCGCGGUAAUACGGAGGGUGCUAGCGUUAAUCAGAAUUACUGGGCGUAAAGAGCACGUAGGUGGUUUUUUUAAAGUCAGAUGUGAAAUCCCUGGGCUUAACCUAGGAACUGCAUUUGAAACUGAAAUACUAGAGUAUCGUAGAGGGAGGUAGAAUUCUAGGUGUAGCGGUGAAAUGCGUAGAUAUCUGGAGGAAUACCUGUGGCGAAAGCGGCCUCCUAAACGAAUACUGACACUGAGGGUGCGAAAGCGUGGGGAGCAAACAGGGAUUAGAUACC
rnacentral:rRNA from 1 species